rnacentral:rRNA from 1 species
UACGUAGGGUCCGAGCGUUGUCCGGAAUUAUUGGGCGUAAAGGGCUCGUAGGCGGUUCGUCACGUCGGGAGUGAAAACUCGGGGCUUAACCCCGAGACUGCUUCCGAUACGGGCAGACUAGAGGUAGGCAGGGGAGAGCGGAACUCCUGGUGUAGCGGUGGAAUGCGCAGAUAUCAGGAAGAACACCGGUGGCGAAGGCGGCUCUCUGGGCCUUACCUGACGCUGAGGAGCGAAGGCGUGGGUAGCGAACAGG